rnacentral:rRNA from 1 species
GUCUUUUUGUAUUUUAUUUAAAGUUUAACCUGCCCACUGAAUUAUUUUAAAAGGCUGCGGUAUUUUGACCGUACAAAGGUAGCAUAGUCAUUAGUUUUUUAAUUGAAAACUUGUAUGAAUGGUUGAAUGAAAAAUUAACUUUUUUAUUUAAAAUAUUGAACUUUACUUUUUAAUCAAAAGGUUAAAAUUAACUUAAAAGACGAGAAGACCCUAUAGAGUUUUAUAUUUUACAGUUUAUUUUUAAUCAAGAUUAUUAUUAAUUUUAUUUUGUAAAAUAUUUUAUUGGGGUGAUAAUAUAAUUUAAUAAACUUAUACUUUUUUUUCCAUUAAUAUAUGUUUUUUCUUGAUCCAAUAUUAUUGAUUAAAAAUUUAAAUUACCUUAGGGAUAACAGCGUAAUUUUUUUUUAAGUUCAUAUUAAUAAAAAAUUUUGCGACCUCGAUGCUGUGGAUUAAGAUUUAAUUUUAGGUGCAGCAGUUUAAAAUUUAAGUCUGUUCGACUUUUAAAUUCUU